GCAAAUUAAAUGUCGUGUAACCGGAAGUACCAAAUAAAAAGCGCGAGGAGGUCAGUGUGGUUUAUCGUGUCCAAUAAUAAAUAAAAAAACUUCUCAU